rnacentral:lncRNA from 7 species
AGCGGACGGCGUUAGUCAGUUCGGGAGGCAGAGGAAGCUGAAAAACGCCGCAAAAAUUCUCCAGUCAUCGGCCUGAGCCUCACCCCGUCAUCGGCAUCACCGCCUCCCCCUCCCCAGCCGUGGUUGAGAGCCGGAGGGGGGUGAGGAGGAGGAAGAGGCUGUAUUUCCCCUAACCCAGCUCAUUCUUCCCUUCUCCUCACCUCCUGCGGACCCAUUGUUGCUGCCCACCGUGGGCGCAUGGGACUUUGCUCAGUGCCGGGCAGAAGCAGCUUCCCCCCACCCCCCAGGUGGAAUUACCCGCCCGUGGAGCAGCAUCCAGUGGGCAGCAUCCAGAAGAACAAAAUGUCGCCUUUCUGGGGAGACUACCAUUCAAAAAGGUGCUUAGACAAAUAAGUGAAUGCUGUUUGGAAACAAGAGACAGGAUCAGUCAGGUCCAUGGGACUUGAGUUGCUGAUGCCAAGGUCCUGUGCUGGGUGCAUGCCCUACAACCCACAGUGCUAACCCCAAACCACAGCAAAAGGUGAGAUGAAGCCUAAGGAGGCCCAAGGGAAGGCAGAUCAAUUGUCCCCCAGGGGAUCUGCCAGGGAGGUGAUACAGAGGAAGCACCUACAUCUGCUGCUGCUCCUGCCCACCUGCCCCAUCCAUCAGUGCAGCACAUCCCCAUCCUCGUGUGGUUACUGCUUCCUCAGACUGCAGGGAGCCAUCAAAUGGCUCAAGAUUUUCUUAUAUGUGCAGUUUAAUUGACUGUUUGGACAAACAUAUCUUGGAGAAAGGCUGGUUGCUUUGGUCCAGAUCUUUUGGAAGCUAAUCUUAUCAUCACUAAAUCUGAUUCUCUCUG